AUGCAAGUCGAGCGGGGGAAGGUAGCUUGCUACCGGACCUAGCGGCGGACGGGUGAGUAAUGCUUAGGAAUCUGCCUAUUAGUGGGGGACAACAUCUCGAAAGGGAUGCUAAUACCGCAUACGUCCUACGGGAGAAAGCAGGGGAUCUUCGGACCUUGCGCUAAUAGAUGAGCCUAAGUCGGAUUAGCUAGUUGGUGGGGUAAAGGCCUACCAAGGCGACGAUCUGUAGCGGGUCUGAGAGGAUGAUCCGCCACACUGGGACUGAGACACGGCCCAGACUCCUACGGGAGGCAGCAGUGGGGAAUAUUGGACAAUGGGGGGAACCCUGAUCCAGCCAUGCCGCGUGUGUGAAGAAGGCCUUAUGGUUGUAAAGCACUUUAAGCGAGGAGGAGGCUACUUUAGUUAAUACCUAGAGAUAGUGGACGUUACUCGCAGAAUAAGCACCGGCUAACUCUGUGCCAGCAGCCGCGGUAAUACAGAGGGUGCGAGCGUUAAUCGGAUUUACUGGGCGUAAAGCGUGCGUAGGCGGCUUAUUAAGUCGGAUGUGAAAUCCCCGAGCUUAACUUGGGAAUUGCAUUCGAUACUGGUGAGCUAGAGUAUGGGAGAGGAUGGU
rnacentral:rRNA from 1 species